rnacentral:tRNA from 1 species
GGGCGGUUAGCUCAGCUGGUUAGAGCGCUACGUUGACAUCGUAGAGGUCAUUGGUUCGACUCCGAUACCGCCCA